AAAUGCCGACGCCUCUCUGUCUCUCGAUCUUUCUCUUUCUCCUGACGUCUCUCUCUCUCUCCUCUAGCUUUAGUGGCUGCGAUUCGGUAGGAUUCCGGCGGCUGGUGGGCGGCGAGCAGCUAGGACGGUGAGACUCCGGUGGCUGGCGGGCGUCAGGCAGCCACGAUGCACUGGUGGGCGGGAGGCGCAGGAGGUCAGGGGCCUGGGCGCACAUCCAGUCGGGGGAUUGGGCGCGGCUCGAGGCAAUUUAGGGGUGUGAGCACGCAGCCCAUCUAGUGGUGGCUCGACGUCAUGGUGGUGUCGUAGCUUCUUCGGGGCUGGUAGCUCCAUAAUCCCUUUAAGCUGUUGAUGUGCUCCGGCGACACGAUUCUUUGUGAAUCUGCUUGUGGGAGAGGCAAACACCGGCCGACUAAUGGUAAUUGCAAGCUCUUAAUAGCAGGUAAGGGUCUGAAAGGAAGUGAAUAUUGAUGAACCUGACACAAAACCAGUUUGCACUGUCAAACCUAGCAGCUAAUGGAGGCACUACUGUUUCAUGGUACUCGUCGGUCUAGGGACAUGGCUACAGUUUUGUUUGCUGAUUAGCUCUCUUUGCAUUUAUUUUUUUCAUGAACCGGAUCCUAGCAUGAUGCACGCAGUCCCCUUUGCAUGUCAGAUGGACAAUGCCUUUGGAGUUCUAGUGGAGAUGGACUUCCUCCUGGGGGUACAUUUUGGAGGCUUGAGUAAAUGUGUAUCUUUUAGAUUAUAUGCUUUUCCUCAUUAGUCAGGCCAAGGUGUCCAUCCUUCAAAUCCUACUACCUGUUAUUGCUCUUUGCAUUGUUGUUUCCCUGGAAGACUAAAAUGAAACAUGUGCUGAUUAAGUGUUAAAAGAAUUGUUGCACCCU